UGGGGAAACAUGCCACUCAAAUCAUUAUUAGACAAAUCCAGUACCUGAAGACUCUUAGAAUCGCAUAUGGAUUCAGGAAUAUUGCCUUGAAUGCGAUUUCUUGAUAGAGAAAAGAAGACAGUGGAUGAGAGGUAUUGUCCAAUAGCAGGUAUAAUGGCAGAACUGAAACUGUUGUUGGAGAAGUCCAAAUAGGCAGCAGAUGAAGGAAAGAAUGAGAGUGGCCCUUCAAAUUUGUUGGAAUGAAGGUCAAGAAGAUAGAGACUGGAAGAAAGAUUCUUUGGAGGCCCUUCAAAACCAACAAGAGAGUUGCAAGAAAGAUUUAACUGAUUAAGAUUUUCAAGGCCCCAAAUCCAGAGAGGUAUUUCUCCUUGAAGAUCAUUAUGGGAGAGAUCAAGAGAGUUGAGCUUAGAUUGAUUUUUCAAGAAGCCAGGGAACAUUCUUAAAUUGCAGGAAGCCAAUUUCAAUGUGGUCAUUUGAGGAAAAGAACUUGAGUCAGUGCUUUCCGUUUCAACAGACAGGCUGUUGCUUGAGAGUUCAAGUCUUGUAAUAUUCUUAAGCUGCUUGAAUACGGUUAGAUUCAAUCUUCCGGUAAAAUUGUUGAAAGAAAGUGAGAGAAUCUUCAGACCUUGAAGUUCCAAAAACGACAUUGGGAAUGGCCCUUCUAACCGAUUGCUCUCCAAAUCAAGGGUAUCAAGUAAGAAAGAGGACACGUUGGAGAGCUCAUUUAAACUACCACUAAAUAGAUUGUAGUUCAAUUGAAUCUUCCGGAUUGUUUGAAGAUUGAAGAGAGACGAAGGAACAUUUCCAGUGAUGGAAUUGUUACGCAAAUCAAGAUUAACGAGAUUGGGAAGCUCUUCCCAUUUUGUGGAAAGCAAGGAACCAUUCAACCGAUUAUGAGCAAGGUUUAAGACCGUAAGAUUCUUCAAUUGGGAAAAUGAUGGGACUGGACCAACAAAUUUGUUGCUCGAAAGAUCCAAAUAUGUGAGUUGUGUAAGGUUUAGGAUAGAAUUUGGGAUUGAUCCGCCAAAGUUGCAACUCGCCAAGUCUAAUUUGGUCAAGUUCUCAAAAUAUCCGAUAGAUUCUGGCAGUGUCCCUGAAAAUUUUGUGCCUUGGAGCACUAGAGUUUGAAGGGGUCUACUGGAUGGAAAAUCUGGAAGAGAACCUUGCAGCAACUUAUUAUUGGAUAAGUCCAGAGUCUGAAGAGUUGAUACCUGGAAAAUACUUUGUGGAAAUUCUCCAGAUAAAUUUGAACUACCAAGAUGCAGCGAAGUCAAAGUUGGGAAAUCCGCAUAAUUAUCAGGAACCGGUGAGGAAAAAAUGUUAUUAUCCAGACGAAUAUCUGAUAGAUACCGAAGUUUCGCAAGGGAAGAAUCAAGAGGUCCUGAAAGAGCACAGCCAGAUAAGCUCAGCACUGUCAGAUUUAACAAUGAAGACGAUAAGGCCUUGCACCAUUCCCUUCCUUGUGCCGAUAAGUCUACACCAUUCAAAAUUAGUUCUCCCAAAUUGCUCAAAUUCUGAACAAAAGUCCUCAAAUUUGGGUUCUCAAGCUUCAGUGUAGGAAAUUGAAAGAGAGGCGAGCUAGUAAGAUCGAGGCUAACCAAGCCAGUUAAGUUUGAAAUCUCAAUAGGAAUCUGGCCAUUAAAUCCAGAAUUAGACAUAUUCAACACACUUAAAUUCGAAAGCCUGUUAAAUCCAGAAGGCAUCAGGGAAUUAAACCUGUUGAAACCCAAGUUCAAAGUCCGUAAGAACCGAAGACUGAAAAGACUGCUUGAAUUAUCAAUCCCACCUAAAAUCAACUCCUCGCUCAAAUCAAGAUCGGUAACACAGCCGUCGGUGCAGUUAACACCAUUCCAAUUACAGUAAUCGACCCUUUCAUUCCAGUGAACCAGUUUCUUGGAAAAGGAAGAAUUGUACACGAGAUCAUUCUUCAAUUGAAGCAACAGAGAAUGCUGAUCGUCAGGGCAUCGUCCAGAAACCAAAGAAAUCCCUACGCUAAGGAAAAGAAAGCAGUUGAAAAUCAAAGAAAUGCAUGAAAAGAAAAGAUUUCUCAUCGGGACGGAUUAAUGGAAAGGUCCAUACGGAUAAAGAAUGAGGAUAGGGGUGUGAAUUAGUAAUGGGAAUUAGGAAGUUCAUAAGCCACAAGGUUGACCUUCAGACAUGUGUGGGUUGGGCAAGACCAGAUUGAAAAAUCGGAACGCCAGAAGAGGGAAGAGGGAAGAAAUGAAGAAAAGAGAAAUUAGGGGAAAUUGCACUGAAGAAGGAUGAUGGUGGAGGGAAGGGUCAGCGAUGGGGAAAAUGAGUAUUCAAAGUAAACCGCGUCUAUGUGAACCCAAAUACUCAAUAAUGCAAAAUUUCCGCCGCACAACGCAAUCGAUUUUCUUUUUCGUUCUUACUCCCCGUUGCCUUUCUUUCCUACUCAUUGAUAAUCAAAUAACCAACAACAUAUCUAUCAUAUAUUCUAUACUUCAUCUUCCAUCCAUCUUACUCGUUUCAUCUUUAUAUUUUCAAGUUUUAGCACAUAUCAACAUUGCCACAAGUGAAUUCACCACAUAUAGCUAGAUAAGAACAAAACCUAUUUUUCUUAAUACGUUUCACUUUGCAUGUUUUUGUCAUUUAUUUACAUUCUCACCUUAUUUUAAGAAUAAAUUUGCUAAUAUCCUAUUUUUAUAAUUUUUUUUAAACAAUUGUAUUGUUUUUAAAAUCAAUCCAAAAUCUUAGAAUCUAUAUUUGUUCAUUUAUUUUAUUUUAUAAAUUUUUUUUGGAGAAUAUUAAUUAAUUUCAUAUGGAUUUUCUAUCAAUAUUCCAAUAACAUUAAGACCUCAAUGAUAUAAAUAUUUUAAAAUUUAGAAUAUCAUUCCAUUCAUUUAAAUGAAAUUAACAAGUUAAUUAUUAUUAUUAUUUUAAACUUUAUAACUAUAAGAGUUCAAUUUGGUAUCCAAUUUUUUUUUUAUAUAUAAAAAGACAUAAACAUAACAAUAAAAAUUCUAUCACAUUAACUGUAAUUAUUUAUCAUAUAGCAAUUUACCUUCCUAAUUUGUAAACAUAUAUUUAGUACUAACAAAUUUAUAGAUCUACACAUGUAACUUUCAUCAAAUUUCUUACAAUAAUUUUCACCCAACAAUGAAAUUCUUACAAACUUUAAAAUUUAAGGAUGAAAUUAACACAUUAAGUGAGUGAUUAAAUUGUUAUAAAAUUAAAAAUACAAACACUCAUUACUCUUGUUAGUAAUAGCAAAAAAACCAAACUAUGUUUCUUAACUUAUUUAAAUAACUCUUAUUGGCCUUCUACAAAAGGAAACAAAAUGAAUCUAAUAGGCAUAAAAUUAAAUUUAGGGUCAACAGGUGACUUGACUUUUUUCUUCCUUAAAAAAUAUGCUUUGAAUAGAUCAAAGACCUACCAACGUAUUAUUAUUGUUGUUGUUAUUGUCACGGUUUAGGUUUCAAUUUCCAAUCUGAAAUUUGGUCAAAAACUCCAAAGUAGCUUGUAAAGGUUGCCAACAGUUUUGCAAUUUUUUAUUUCCAAACGGUCAAGUGGCCGGCGAUUUUAGUCGAUUCAGAAUGUUUACCUUCAGCAUUUUUAAGCAUUAUUAUUCCUGUUCAUAUGGUCGCCAUCGCCACGCCAUCUCAUGAAUCUGAUAGUUUUUGGAAAUAUUCAGAAUCAAAAUAUGAACCCCAAUCUAAAAACGAACUUAAGAUUCCAUGUUCCUCCCAACACCCAUUUUCCAUUCCUAAUGAGACUAAACCCUUCUUUUGUUGGUAUUAUUAUGACAUUUUAAAGCCAAAGCUAAAGCUGAGGCCCAUCUCAUCCAUGCUUUCGAUUUUUUCUCCCAUAAGAAAACACCCGCGAUUACGCCCGUGAUAGCUCCUGAUAUGAAUCCAAGUGUAAUUAUUAUGUAUUUCCAUUCAAAUUCGUUUUCUGAAGAUUCCAUUGUAUCUGAAGAUGAUGGUUGAAUUGCAAUUCCACAUUUAUUUGGCAAAGGGUAUCCACAUAAUCCUUCAUUACCAAUAAAGGAAUCUUCAGAAAAUGUUUGGAAUUGGGAGCCAAUGGGAAUCAUACCAACCAACAGAUUGUAGGACAGAUUCAACACAGAUAGAAACGAUAGUCCCGCGAGCUGUAGAGGGAUUUGGCCAGAAAGCAUGUUACUUGAAAGAUCUAAAGAACCCAGCUGACUCAAAUUUCCUAUAGAUGAGGGAAUUUCGCCGGACAGGGAAUUGUGGGACAAGUUGAGAAGAUAAAGCGCCUUGAGUUCUCCGAUUUCUGCAGGUAUAUGGCCAUUGAAGAGAUUGCAUGAGAAGUCAAUGGAAGUGAAGACUGUUAGAAUUUUUGUCAGUUCAACGUCCAGACCUUUGCUUGUAAUAGUUACCGUGUCUUGAUAGUUCACAGCACUGAAUUUGAAGAAAUUAAAACGAAGGUGAUUAGCUCUUGACUUGCUAAAGUCUUCCUCACCCACCAUUGCUUUCCACUUUUCUACGAAUUUUCCAGAUAUCCUACCAUUAAAGUAGUUUCGAGAUAUGUCAACAAUUUGCAGGCUCUUCCAAGUGCCAUUCCUCUCUUGACAUCCAAAUUUACCAUGAAAUUUGUUUGAGUGAAGAACAAGCACACGUAAAGUGGAUAUGCUCUUCAAUGAGCAUGGGAAGAUAUCAUCUAUGGAAUUCUUUCCAAGAUCCAAAACCUCCAAAUAUCGACAAUUUGAUAAAGACUUUGGUACCCGCCCUUCGAUGUUGUUUCCACUUAGAUCAAGAGUCCUCAGACCGCAGUUAGCUGGAAAUGCAUUAGGAAUAGAGCCAUUUAAGGCGUUUUCUCUUAGAUUUAGUACCACAAGAUUAUCAUUCUUCUCAGUUAGACACUGGGGAAACAUGCCACUCAAAUCAUUAUUAGACAAAUCCAGUACCUGAAGACUCUUAGAAUCGCAUAUGGAUUCAGGAAUAUUGCCUUGAAUGCGAUUUCUUGAUAGAGAAAAGAAGACAGUGGAUGAGAGGUAUUGUCCAAUAGCAGGUAUAAUGGCAGAACUGAAACUGUUGUUGGAGAAGUCCAAAUAGGCAGCAGAUGAAGGAAAGAAUGAGAGUGGCCCUUCAAAUUUGUUGGAAUGAAGGUCAAGAAGAUAGAGACUGGAAGAAAGAUUCUUUGGAGGCCCUUCAAAACCAACAAGAGAGUUGCAAGAAAGAUUUAACUGAUCAAGAUUUUCAAGACCCCAAAUCCAGAGAGGUAUUUCUCCUUGAAGAUCAUUAUGGGAGAGAUCAAGAGUGUUGAGCUUAGAUUGAUUUUUCAAGAAGCCAGGAAACAUUCUUAAAUUGCAGGAAGCCAACUUCAAUGUGGUCAUUUGAGGAAAAGAACUUGAGUCAGUGCUUUCCGU
rnacentral:lncRNA from 1 species